rnacentral:rRNA from 1 species
UACGUAGGGUGCGAGCGUUACUCGGAAUUACUGGGCGUAAAGCGUGCGCAGGCGGUUUCGUAAGUCUGUCGUGAAAUCCCCGGGCUUAACCUGGGAAUGGCGAUGGAGACUGCGAGGCUAGAGUUUGGCAGAGGGGGGUAGAAUUCCACGUGUAGCAGUGAAAUGCGUAGAGAUGUGGAGGAACACCGAUGGCGAAGGCAGCCCCCUGGGUCAAAACUGACGCUCAUGCACGAAAGCGUGGGGAGCAAACAGG